GUUUUCUAAUAGUAGACCUGUUCUAUUUUUAAUACAAUACGUGUCCAAGAAAAACUGAUUUAUAUUAUACAUUGUUUAUAAUAUUUAUUCAUGAUCUUUUGUAACAACUAUACACAGUUAAUUUUCCCCUGUCAUCGCUAUGGCCUGACUUGUUUGUUGCAACUCAAUUCUAGUUUGGUAAUUUACAAGUGGUGUCUAAAAUUGAGUUAUUGUGGGUGGGGUCAUAUUACAGGAUUUAUAGUGUAAAGUUUUCCUAUUCCAUGCAAAACUUAAAGAAAAAAAUGGGGUAUAUCUGUAGUGCUAAAUGGGAUUAGUAAAGCAAGGGAAGGCGUAGAUUUCAGCAAGGUAAAACGGUUCUUCCAUGACUGGUUAACAAUUGCAUACUGGGGAUAAUGAAAAAGUUUAACAGCUUGUCACUGAAAGUAGUCCAAGAACACAGAGGUCCAUUUCUGCUAAAUUAGGAAAAUCUUAUAGGCCAUAAACAAGAUAUUUCCCAUUGAUAUUUAGAUCUACAAAAGUGAUACAUAAACUAUGUUCACAAGCUUUUUCAAUAAGACAGUCAAAUGGAAAGCCAACUGUCAAAAUCAGUUUAAGCAUUGUCUGACACAUGAAAAAUACAAUCAUGAAAUACCAUCUUCAGAUUGGGUGCCAAUAAAGUGGCUUCACCUA